AUGGAGUUACCUCCCUCUUAUUUAGAUUUUGAUUCUAUGGUUUCCCACCAGUUUGUUGAGAGGACUGAACUACCUCUCCAGUAUCGACUAAUUUUUAACAGACGUCGUGUAGUCCAUAUUGCUCUUCCCGCCCCUGCUUUCUUUGAUUCACAGGCAAAAAGAAGAUAUAUUAUUACCAGAGAGGAGGCAGAUGAGUACGAAAGGAGACCGGAGGCUGCUCGACUCCACGCUACAGCUCAGGUGGCAAUAGCCGCUGCGUCAGAGUAUGACCCCCGCUUCACCUACGGGUAUCCGCCAGGCUAUCCCUGGCAAUAG
rnacentral:rRNA from 1 species